GCGGAUGUGGUGAAAUUGGUAGACACGCUAGUUUUAGGCACUAGUGCUUUAUCGCGUGAAGGUUCGAGUCCUUUCAUCCGCACCA
rnacentral:tRNA from 4 species